AGCAGGCCAACAAAUGGGGGAGCCAAAGCCAAUUUUUGCGAGGAUUGAAACUGGCGAGGAGGAAGGAUCUGGUCCCAAAGCGAUGAAAGAUAGGAGAAGAGUUCCCCGUAAACAAGGCGUUGUAGAGGCGUAGGUAUUUGCUAUGGCAGUUCUCAGGCUGCCAAUACAACAUGAAAUACAUUUCUCCCUUGCUGAUGACUUGAAG
rnacentral:misc_RNA from 1 species